AUGAACGCUGGCGGGCGUGCCUAAUACAUGCAAGUCGAGCGGUAAGGCCUCUUCGGAGGUACACGAGCGGCGGACGGCUGAGUAACACGUAGGAACCUACCCCAGACUGAGGGAUAAGCAUCAGAAAUGGUGUCUAAUACCGCAUACACUCUUCGGAGCAAAGCUACGGCGGUUUUGGGAAGGGCCUGCGCAUGAUUAGCUAGUUGGUGAGGUAAAAGCUCACCAAGGCGACGAUCAUUAGCUGGUCUGAGAGGGAUGAUCAGCCAGACUGGGACUGAGACACGGCCCAGACUCCUACGGGAGGCAGCAGUAGGGAAUUUUCCACAAUGGGGGCAACCCUGAUGGAGCAACGCCGCGUGCAGGAUGAAGGCCUUCGGGUUUGUAAACUGCUUUUAUGGGUGACGAUUAUGACGGUAACCCAUGAAUAAGGAUCGGCUAAUUCCGUGCCAGCAGCCGCGGUCAUACGGAAGAUCCAAGCGUUAUCCGGAAUUACUGGGCGUAAAGAGUUGCGUAGGUGGCGAAGUAAGCGGACAGUGAAAGCGUAUGGCUCAACCAUAUACACAUUGUCUGAACUGCUUGGCUAGAGUAUGAGAGAGGUAGCUGGAAUUCCCAGUGUAGGAGUGAAAAUCCGUAGAUAUUGGGAGGAACACCGAUGGCGUAGGCAGGCUACUGGCUCAUUACUGACACUAAGGCACGAAAAGCGUGGGGGAGCGAACGGGAUUAGAUACCCCGGUAGUCCACGCCGUAAACGAUGGAUGCUAGUUGUUAUUCGUAUCGACCCGAAGUAGUAACGAAGCUAACGCGUUUAAGCAUCCCGCCUGUGGAGUACGAGCGCAAGCUUAAAAACAUAAAGGAAUUGACGGGGACCCGCACAAGCGGUGGAGCGUGUUGUUUAUUAAUUCGAUGCUAAGCGAAGAACCUUACCAGGGUUUGACAUCCUGCUAAUUUUCUCCGAAAGGAGAGAGUGCCUUCGGGCCGCAGUGACAGGUGUUGCAUGGGCCGUCGUCAGCUCGUGUCGUGAGAUGUUUGGUUAAGUCCAUCAACGAGCGCAACCCUUGUGAUUAGUUGUAUUUUUCUAAUCAGACUGCCCCCGGCAACGGGGAGGAAGGAGGGGAUGAUGUCAGGUCAGUAUUACCCUUACAUCCUGGGCUACAAACACGCUACAAUGGCCGGUACAAUGGGCAGCCAAGUCGCAAGACGGAGCAAAUCCCACCAAAAGCCGGUCUCAGUUCGGAUUGUAGGCUGAAACCUCGCCUACAUGAAGCUGGAAUCGCUAGUAACGGUAGGUCAGCACACUACCGUGAAUACGUUCCCGGGUCUUGUACACACCGCCCGUCAAAGCCAUGAAAGUCACCAAUACCUGACGUGCUUGCUUGCCAAGCCCUAAGGUAGGGGAGAUGAUUGGGGUU
rnacentral:rRNA from 1 species